AUACGGAGGGUGCAAGCGUUACUCGGAAUCACUGGGCGUAAAGGAUGCGUAGGCGGAUAAUCAAGUCAAAAGUGAAAUCCCACGGCUUAACCGUGGAACUGCUUUCGAAACUGGUUAUCUAGAAUAUGGAAGAGGCAGAUGGAAUUAGUGGUGUAGGGGUAAAAUCCGUAGAGAUCACUAGGAAUACCGAUUGCGAAGGCGAUCUGCUGGGACAUUCUUGACGCUGAGGCAUGAAAGCGUGGGGAGCAAACAGGAUUAGAAACCCCAGUAGUCC
rnacentral:rRNA from 1 species